GCGCCCGUGGCUCAAAUGGAUAGGGCACUAGAUUUCGGCUCUAGCGAUUGCAGGUUCGAGUCCUGCCGGGCGUA
rnacentral:tRNA from 1 species